rnacentral:tRNA from 1 species
ACCUGGGUGGCUCAGUCAGUUGAGCGUCUGACUUCAGCUCAGGUCAUGAUCUCGUGGUUCACGAGUUCGAGCCCCGUGUUUGGGUU